rnacentral:lncRNA from 1 species
AUGGCAGCGCCCGGCGCGCCAGCGUCAGCGCUCCCACCUCCUACCAUCUUCCCGGCCGCCCGCCCGCGCCAUCCCCUCGGCUCGGGUCCCAGCCGCGGUCUCGCCCUCCGCCGUCCAUUACCUGGUUCAUCUCUGAAGAGAUGGAAAACCUCAUCUCUAGAGCUUCGAUGGGGAGCAGCAGGAAGCGGGCGGGAAUCAGCCCAAAGAAAAGCGCCUCGAGGCGGCGGAGGGGGGCAGCGACGCAGCAGGGAGGACGAGCGGCCCGUCCGCGGAGGCUGCGGCGCCGCCGAGCACUGGCGCGAGCUCUCCCUCGAUCGCACAGGCGCGCCGAAGCAGCCGGCCGAUAAAGGCGCCCGCCACCCGCCGACCGACCGACCUCCGCGCGCGUCCCGGAGACACUGCCGCCUCCCGCGCUCCCGCACCGCCGCGCACGUCACCACGUGCGGCGCCGCCGCCAACGCCUCCCGGCCGCUUCCGGCCCUGAUCCCUCCGCGAAUCACGGGCGAGCUCCAGAAAGAUCCAGCGCGAGGCCCCGCCCCCGCAGGCCCCGCGCCCGCCCGCCCGCCCUUCUCGUUCGCGGGCUGGAGCUCCUUCCUUCACAGCUCAACUAGCAAGGAUUUGACCGACUUUUUCUGCUAAGGACCAAGCCGUCCUUAUGCCGCAGUAUCCAGAGUACUGGAUCUACAGUGAAAACUGACUGAACCCAGAAGAGGAAUAAACAUCCCUUUGGAGACUUACUCCUUAGAGAACAGUGAGAGGUGGCCUCUCAAAGAUCAUGCAGCAAUAAAUAUCCUGUUGGAAAAAGUGACGAAAGAGAAAGAAAGAACAUCAGUGCUUCUUUUGCCAUUUGUACCAAAUACAGGGAAUUCCAGGUACCAAACAGAAAGCGUUUCGCAUGUAGCGUAUCUGGUGCUGGUCUUUUGUACAUAAUGUAUUCUUUUCAAUAGAGGUGAUUUAUUCAGUAAUUCAUUAUUUUUUACCAUUGUACUUUUUAAAGAUAUUUUCCAUGAUACGUACACCCACAGGCCUGAAAAAAAGUGUUGGUUGUGAAAAUCUGAGAUUGGUU